GGCCUCAGGAAACUUACAAUCACGGCAGGAGGUGGAGGGGAUGCAGGUGUGUCUUACGUUGCUGGAGCAGGAGCAAGAGCGGGAGGGAGGUGCCACGCAAUUUUUAAAUAACCACAUCUCAGAGCUCACUGUGGCAAUGACAGCACAGAGAGGGGAUGGUGUUAAACCAUAAGACACUGCCCCUACCAGGCCCCACCUGCAGCACUGGGGAGUAAAAUUUGACAUGAGAUUUGGGCAGGGACACAGAUCCAAACCAUAUCAGUGGGGAAAGGCAUCUGUUUAAGGAGAGCAUUCAGUUCAGCAAGAUGGACAUUCUGCACAGGCAGUUUCAUUUUUCUAGAUGCUUGAGCCCAAAGCCACUCUGCCUCACAUCAUUAGCAAAUCCUGGCAGCUUGACCCCGAAACCGUAUCCAGAAUCUGUCCAUUUUUCCCCACCUCUGGGCCAAGCCACUGGUAGCUCAUACCUGGGUAACCACAAUGUCCUGCAGUCUCCUGCUCCCACCUUCCCCACUGUGGUCCACUCUUAAACCAACAACAGUUGUCCCGUUAAAUUCCACACACCCUGCCACUCCUAUGCUGUGUCCCUGAAGCCGUCCUGGGCCUGCAUGUGCUGGCUCCAGCUCUUUCCUGACCUCUGCCUCUCUUUCUCCCCCUGCUCCCUGGGCUUUGGCCAAUCUCUGCUCUUUGUGAGACAAGCUUCUGCCCCAGGGCCUUUGCACUUGCUGUGCUCGCUGCCUGGAGCCCUUUUUCCAGAGACUUCUACGGCCCCCUCCCUUUCUCCGUCACCCUUCUGUGAAGCCUUCCCACAUUAUCCACGAUGAAUUUGCAUACUCCAUGGCACUGCUUAUCCCCUCCCUUUCCUGCUUUAUUUUUCUCCAGGUGUUUACUAGUGUGUUUCUGUUUCGACUGCCAGACCGUAAGCUCUGUGAGAGGGCAGGAACUAUGUUUUGUUCAUUGCUAAAAGUUUGGUCCUAGCCUUUCUAUUAGCUCUCAGUGAGAUUACACAUGCAAGCAUCCACAGCCCUGUGAAAAUGCCUGCUAGA